UGGGGAAUAUUGGACAAUGGGGGCAACCCUGAUCCAGCAAUGCCGCGUGAGUGAUGAAGGCCUUCGGGUUGUAAAGCUCUUUUGGCAGGGACGAUGAUGACGGUACCUGCAGAAUAAGCCCCGGCUAACUUCGUGCCAGCAGCCGCGGUAAUACGAAGGGGGCUAGCGUUGUUCGGAAUUACUGGGCGUAAAGGGCGCGUAGGCGGCUCAUUUAGUCAGGCGUGAAAGCCCCGGGCUCAACCUGGGAAUUGCGUUUGAAACUGGUGGGCUUGAGGACCGGAGAGGAUAGUGGAAUUCCCAGUGUAGAGGUGAAAUUCGUAGAUAUUGGGAAGAACACCAGUGGCGAAGGCGGCUAUCUGGACGGUUACUGACGCUGAGGCGCGAAAGCGUGGGGAGCAAACA
rnacentral:rRNA from 1 species